rnacentral:sRNA from 1 species
GCCAGGUGCAGUGGCACACACCUGUAAUCCCAGCAGCUCAGGAGGCUGAGGCAGGAGGGUCACGAGUUCAAAGUCAGCCUCAGCAAUGGCGAGGCACUAAGCAACUCAGUGAGACCUUGUCUCUA